UCUUUGCUAGUAUAUUGGUUAGUACACGCGCCUGUCAUCUGUAAGUAACCUUUGUUCCUUAUCGCGCGAAAGCUGGGUUCGACUCCCAGGCAGAGAG